rnacentral:rRNA from 1 species
AACGUAGGAGGCAAGCGUUAUCCGGAUUUACUGGGCGUAAAGCGCGUGCAGGCGGUUUGGUAAGUUGGAUGUGAAAGCUCCCGGCUCAACUGGGAGAGGUCGUUCAAAACUACCAGACUUGAGGGCGGUAGAGGGAAGUGGAAUUCCGUGUGUAGUGGUGAAAUGCGUAGAUAUACGGAGGAACACCAGUGGCGAAAGCGGCUUCCUGGACCGAUCCUGACGCUCAGACGCGAAAGCUAGGGGAGCAAACGGG